ensembl:lncRNA
GUUGAGAAUGACCAAGCCAAGAUCCCAUGGGACUUCCAGAUACAGAUGUGGGAGUGAUGACAACCAAUAAAAUUCAAAAAGAUAAUAAUUUAUUAGUACAAUGAUCAUAAAAAUGAAGGGCUAAAAUAGUCCAGUUUCACACUUGCAAUAGCGAUCAAACACAUAGUCCAAGGCCAGAGUCAGCUACACUACACAUGCCAACAGCUGUAACAGUGAACAGCAGUUGUCCUCCACCCACCACCCUGAAAAUAGUAAUCCAGCAACCACCCCGGCCUCAGCAGACAAACUCUGCCUUUAGGCUGCAGCAUAUACUAGGCCCUGGCCUACACAGAGAGACAAAAUAUCACAUCAGUGUUUGUAGUGUGGACUAUAAGUAGACCAGAGGAUCAGUAGAAUCAAAUACACCUGCCUUCAAUUAAUCCAACACACAGACAUUUGCUCACAGCAAUUGUGAAACACACAAACAACUCCCAUACUAGUGCCCAUUUCCCACAGCAAACACAGAGAUGAGUUAAUAUAGGCAAUACUGGUCCACCAUGUUACUGACUUUCCCUAAUCAUGAACAUUGUAAUAAAGUAUUUUUUUAUUUUAUUUUAUUUUAUUUUGAAUAACAUAAUAUGUUUAUUUAUAUUGUAAGUAAGUAAUCACUAAGUAAGCAAGUAAUUACAGUACUUACUUAUUUAUAUAGCACCAACUUACAACAACAGUUACCUCAAGAUACUUUUUAUUGUAAAGUAACUACGUUACAAUAACAAAAGGUGAACGAUAAAUGAUAAAAGCUGAAGUUAUUUAAAACUCGUGCACAUACGCACACAUCACAGGUUCUGUUCAUGCUCCUGCAAAGUAUAACAAAAACAUCUCAUUGAUGACGCAUGAAACACGUAAAUACCGUGCUAAAAAUCUUAUACGUAUAUUCUUUGGACUGAUUCCAGAUCAGAUUAAAGCUACACCAACUGGUUUAACAGGACAGAAAGUUCUUGCCCUCAUUCUCUCCACGACGAAGCAAAAUCUCUCUCAGAUACAUACACACACAGCAGCUGCAGCACCUAGUGCCAAGUACCGUAUCAUUUUUACAUUUGUUUAAAAAUAUUAAUGUCCUUGCAGUGGAUUUCUUAGUAAGCAAGGACAAGCAAGUAGCUGUGGGACCUUCCUGGUAGUGGGUCCUGUUGUCCUUUCCCCUCUGUU